CUCACUUUUGUCAAGACCUUGAGAGGAAGAGGAGCGUUCUCACAGUACAGCUUUGCCAUUCUGCCCUGUGACCCACAGAAAGAGCAGCCAUGUCCUCUGGAGGAGCUCCUAUGGUAGACCCUGAUGCUGAUUUUGUCUAUGACUAUGAGACUCUGCGCACAGGAGGCCUGAUCUUUGCUGGGGUGAUUGUGGUGAUGUCUGUUCUCCUACUGACAGGUAACCGCAUCUGCCGGUGUGGCAAGAGAAAUGGAAAGCAAGGAGAUGGAGACGCUUAAUACAGCACACGUUGGAUGUUUUGUUGUGAACAGACUUUGUACUUUGUAAAAAAGAAAAGAAAAAAGCAUAUGCUCUGUCAUUGUUACACUUAACUUAACACAAUGCCUUGAUAAAACA